rnacentral:tRNA from 1 species
UGGGGAUUAGCUCAGUUGGCUAGAGCGCUUGCCUUGCACGCAAGAGGUCAUCGGUUCGACUCCGAUAUUCUCCA